rnacentral:rRNA from 1 species
CACGUAGGCGGAUAUUUAAGUCAGGGGGUGAAAUCCCAGAGCUCAACUCUGGAACUGCCUUUGAUACUGGGUAUCUUGAGUAUGGAAGAGGUAAGUGGAAUUCCGAGUGUAGAGGUGAAAUUCGUAGAUAUUCGGAGGAACACCAGUGGCGAAGGCGGCUUACUGGUCCAUUACUGACGCUGAGGUGCGAAAGCGUGGAGAGCAAACA